UUUUGUUUAUGUUAUGAGCCCAGUUAUAAAAUUCCUAAAACUUGUCGGCCUAUAACGUUUUGUUUUGUGUACUUUUUUCAACUAAGCAAGUUCUCUUGUUCAGGUGUCGGGAGAGGCCUAUUAAAGUGCUAAGUGGUAUACUGGUAUAGCACAGCGCCUAGCUAUGAUGCACGUGGAGAAGUCAGGAUAUCUCAGUUGAUGCGAUCAUCGAUCCUAUGGCAUCAAAAGCUCCACUUGAUAUUUCCAAGAAAAUACACGAAAGAUAAGUUAUGAUUUAUAAGCCAAGGCUUCUUCUAUGUAUGUCCAUUCAAACCCCUUAAUGUGUGUGCCAUUAUGUAAAACUAUUCUCUCUUUUUUUCGGUUUUGGCAUAAACUAAUGUGAAAUUGGGC